CAGGCUUCUCGCCAUGUGUGCAGCGAGGGUGGUGAAAAGCCUGAGAUACAAGAUGACAAGUGUGAGCACGAAGUAGAGUCGCGUUUAAUUAAUUCCCCUCUCUCCCUUGGGAGCCGCGCUUUGCUAGUAUGUGAUACAUUUUGAGUUGUAAUCGACGAAAUAACUCGCGAUUGCAGUAUUCCGUGGGAGCGCCUUUGAGUUUGUGGAAUCAAUGUGGGGCUGCCUGCCUCACAAGUAUAGGGUGAAAACCAUAAAUAUUGUCGAGUUGACCUAGAGAUUAAAAUUGUUGCAUGGCGUUACAUGCUAUGUAGGCUGCCACACUGUAGGCCUAAUAAAUGUGUGGAAGUACCACCGUACCUGCCCAUGAGCGUAGCUGAAAAACUGGACACCCAUAGUGGUCACUGAAUGGCACAAGCUUCAGCAUCACCCUUCUCCAAUAAUCACAUGAGACAAGAAAACACUGAAAGAUCCAAAAGAAGAGGAAUGGACAAUGAUCCUGUCAUUGUCAGAGGAUCCCAGGCUCCUCAUCCUGAGAAACAGCCCAGCCAAGCAGGCAGGAGUGUGCCCACCAAACCCCAGGCUUUUCAUUUGGAUCCAUUCUGUAACCCCGCCCUCUCACUCCAAGUCAUGCCUCCAAUCCAUGCAUGACAGUUUCCAACAUCCCCUGCCAAAAUUGUUUCCUGGAUGCAUUGUGAUCCAUGCUAUCAGCUUCCUGACCUCCGAGUUCUGCGUCUCACACUUUUUUUUUUUUCAUCCUCUCAAGCAUGUCAGCAGUUUCUUACUGGCUUGCGAGACGCUGCCCCCACAGUGUGUGGUCUUGUGCCUGUACGGCCUCAUGAGGUUUGUUUACGUGUGUAUUUGAUUCCACUCUAUGAACACGUUCACAAAGAUGCACUCCAUAAGAUAAAGAGAAGCACAGGGUCUUGUCAUUCUUCCACAGCUUAAUCAGGAGCUACACAGAGGAGAGGAGCGCCGCGGCACGGACCUUCCUGAUCAUUCUAAUGAGGACCCCUGGCAAUGCAGCCAGCGCAGUAUAAUUGACUUAUUCGUCUCUUAUUUUCAUAAUAGACACUCCCUGACCCAGAGCACAUUUAGUUUGCUAUGAGAGAUGUCAGAAAGCAUUGGAAGUUUUCUCCGCACGCCCAUUAAAUCUGAAGGCAUGCCACCCUGUCUCCGGUCGGCCAGCACUGUCAUUGGCUGCCCAGCUCAUUAUGCAGAUGGAAAAUGUAAGUAAAUGAUUCCAAGAUUGGCCGAAAACCUUCCUUGCCCAUACACACCCUGCGCCCCCUCCACCCUGGAGCCUUUCAAGGCAUCCAACCAGGCUCAAAAAUAAAAAAAAUACAGUUCUGUUCCUCUGAAAAAAUAAAAAUUACAUAUAAAUAAUAAAAGCGCAGCAGUGCCCCUUGACGUGAAAACCAGGGGAAGCAUGUGGAUGUCAUUGUUGUUGCAACAAGGCCUGCCAUCUACCUUUCAGGACCAAUUGAAAUCAAAUUUUGUGGAGGUAUAACCACAUUUUUUGUGGAGGUAAGGGUUAGCCAGUGAGGGUGAGCCCCGGAUCUCUGUCCCUGCUAGCUGAUAUGAAACAGAACAGCUGUGGAUAUCAGUGCCCCCACGCAAUUCUCCACUGACCAUGUCUGCUGCGAUUUUUGGAGCUGUCGCAUUAGUUGCUAUGGACAGCCGUAAUGGGAUACAUCCUCAUAGAUCUGGCAUUGAGAACACAGAAUUAGAUCAUUAUCACUUAAGUAAACCUACUACUGGCACAUUUUAAAAUGUCUGCAAGUAAUUUGCUGCUUUGCAAGUAUUCGACAUCCUCUAUUUCCUGGCACACAUAGAAAAGUCCUAGAAAAUAUUACAUCUCUAAUAGGUUUUUUUGCAUUAUACGUGUGAGGAAAAAGCCACCGUCUUCUUUCCUUCUGUAUUUUCUGUCUCUGCGUUGUUUAAUGAGAUGAUUGUGUCUCCCAUGUGCCUUCAUUGAACUUUUAUUUUGUGGUCGGCCUUCUAUUGCUCGUGGCGCAGCGGCUGAGAUACGGGAACAUCAUUAAAGUAAUUACUACAAGCUCUAGUAGUUGCAGGAAAAUAAUAUGGUGGGGGUGGUCUUUUUUUGCACAGACAGGAAAUCCUUUUUUCACCGAACAUUCAGCACUGCCGUGAUUGUUAGAACAGACAGGACCCAUCGCAUUUCCUGUACCUGUUAAGGAAAUGAUGGAAAUGGAGAAAGAGAUGGAAAAUCCUGGUGGUGGUAUGCCUUCUAUUCAGUCAUUGUCAGAAUACAGUUGUCAGCCCUGUUUUAGAGUGCUAAGUACGGUUAUGUUCACACACAGUUCUGUUAUGAACCAAAGUGACAACUGUAUUCUGUAACUGAAUACACUCUCCUAAAUUUUCUGCAUUCUGAGUGACGUUGGUUAAAACUGGUCUGGGUGAAUGAAACUGCACUGAACAACAAGUUUUCUGUCAUGUCAUAUAGUGCAGUAGACAAUCAGUCUGUACUGUACAUAAACUAAUGCGUGGGUUGUGUUUUCAUGUUGGCCUUCCGUGGUCUGCUGUUGAUUAUUUAAGAUUAGAUGCAUUAGUUUGUGCCUUUAUUGCAUUAAUUUAUACUAUCAAAUUGUGUCAGUUGAGAAG
rnacentral:lncRNA from 1 species